rnacentral:tRNA from 1 species
GUCUACCUGGAUAGCUCAAUUGGUUAGAGCAUGGUGCUGAUAAUGCCAAGGUUGCAGGUUUGGUUCCCAUAUGGGACA